rnacentral:rRNA from 1 species
GACGAACGCUGGCGGCGUGCUUAACACAUGCAAGUCGAACGGAGUGCUCAUGACAGAGGUUUUGGCCAAUGGAUUGAGUUACUUAGUGGCGGACUGGUGAGUAACGCGUGAGGAACCUGCCUUUCAGAGGGGGACAACAGUUGGAAACGGCUGCUAAUACCGCAUAAGCGCACAGUGGGACAUCCCACAGUGUGAAAAACUCCGGUGGUACAGGAUGGGCCCGCGUCUGAUUAGCUAGUUGGCAGGGUAACGGCCUACCAAGGCAACGAUCAGUAGCCGGUCUGAGAGGAUGAACGGCCACAUUGGAACUGAGACACGGUCCAA